rnacentral:pre_miRNA from 1 species
UUUUUAGUAUAAGUAUGUCCUAUGCAAUAUUUGGGACUUAUUUAUACUAAAA